rnacentral:tRNA from 1 species
ACAGUGAUGGUUCAGUGGUAGAAUUCUCACCUUCCAUGUAUGACACCUGGGUUCGAUUCCGAGCCGAUGUA